UCCCUGGUGGUCCAGUGGCUAAGACUCUGCACUCUCAGUGCAGGAGCCAGGGUUCGAUUUCUAGUCAGAGAA
rnacentral:tRNA from 1 species